rnacentral:rRNA from 1 species
UACGAAGGGGGCUAGCGUUGCUCGGAAUCACUGGGCGUAAAGGGUGCGUAGGCGGGUCUUUUAAGUCAGGGGUGAAAUCCUGGAGCUCAACUCCAGAACUGCCUUUGAUACUGAAGAUCUUGAGUUCGGGAGAGGUGAGUGGAACUGCGAGUGUAGAGGUGAAAUUCGUAGAUAUUCGCAAGAACACCAGUGGCGAAGGCGGACUCACUGGACCAUUACUGACGCUGAGGCACGAAAGCUAGGGGAGCAAACAGG